UGACGUCACCAAGUUUGUUGCUGCGCCUGUCUCAUUGAAGUUCUGUGUUGUAUUUUACUGUCACUGCCAGUAUUUCUUACAAUAUCUGAAUAUCAGAGACGAUGUUCCAAGAUAUGGAUGUUUUGUCAUGAUUGUAUGUUGCUUUGCACAAGCACGCGUGCAAAAAAUAAUCAACCCAGCGUUCAGAAUGUCAAGCAAAGUCCCGUAGCCUCGAGCUCAUCGGCAGUACCAGUACCGCUGACUGUAACUUAUAUCUUCAACAUCCAGCUCCUAGAGGGACACCAGCUGUAAGAACUCCUGUCAGCUUCAAGUCUAGAAACUUCAACAAAGGUGGACAUCUGGAGAAGCUGAAAGACAGAUCUGCAACAUAGUGAAACUGUUUUCUGCUUUCGGCAAAUGGACAGUCAGUCAGUCACAGCAGGCAAGGCUCGGCAGUUUUGAAACCCAUGUCAACAGUGUUAAGCUUCAAGGAAAAAGAUUCAAUGAACUGUAUAUCAUAUGAUUCUGCAUAAAUAUCUCCAAGCAGCAAAAGUGAUUUCUGGAACUAGAAGUAAUGAUGUUGGAGAGGCAAACAAUAUGAAUAAGACAACAGUAUCUCCGUCUUGUUGAAAAAGUGAUGUUUUUCUCUAUACAAGUUAUACCAGUAAUGCAAAGGCCAAGGACAUGGAUAGUGGUUUUUAAUAUUUAUAUAUAUGUGUAUUGAUCUUUCUUACCAUAAGAUAAACUGACAUUCUAAACUAUAGUGCAACUUGGUUUUGUAUGGAUUUACUUUACAUGAGCAAGUAUUAAAUGAAUUAUAUUUUUGAUUCUAAAUGACAAA